GAUCAAUCUAGAGGUGUCAAUACUUGGAUUAAGUGACUUGGAGCUAGAUUCAAUCCGUACCGCAGAUGUUGAACUUUAAAAAGGAGAGCACCCACCGUGAUGUGGUCUGCUCGUCCAUGACCAGAGAGAUGUAGCCCUCAAUCAGAGAGAAGGAGAAGAAACGGAUGUGUCCAGAGUCCUCGCUAGACGCCCCGGGCUCCUUCAUGC